rnacentral:rRNA from 1 species
GGGGUUCGAUUAAGCCAUGCGAGUUGAGAGGGUUUAGACCCUCGGCGGACUGCUCAGUAACACGUGGAUAACCUGCCCUAAGGUGGAGGAUAACCCCGGGAAACUGGGGAUAAUACUCCAUAGAUCAGAGUAACUGGAAUGUUUUCUGGUCGAAAGUUCCGGCGCCUUAGGGAUGGAUCUGCGGCCGAUUAGGUAGUUGUUGGGGUAACGGACCAACAAGCCAGUCAUCGGUACGGGUUGUGGGAGCAAGAGCCCGGAGAUGGAAUCUGAGACACGAUUCCAGGCCCUACGGGGCGCAGCAGGCGCGAAAACUUUACAAUGCAGGAAACUGUGAUAAGGGAACCCCGAGUGCUCGUACACGCGAGCUGUCCAGGUGUGUAAAAAGCAUCUGAAGAAAGGGCCGGGCAAGACCGGUGCCAGCCGCCGCGGUAAUACCGGCGGCUCGAGUGGUGGCCACUAUUAUUGGGCUUAAAGCGUUCGUAGCUGGACUCUUAAGUCUCCUGGGAAAUCCGCCGGCUCAACCGGCGGGCGUCCAGGAGAUACUGGGAGUCUUGGAACCGGAAGAGGUAAGAGGUACUUCGGGGU